CCCUCUGAGCGCGUUGAAAGGUUUGUAGGCGGAAAUAGCUGAAGCAAAAACCGGCCCCGCCGCCUCCCUUUGUAGAGACCUCUGCCGCCGACGCCAAGCGGCUAGCCGGCAAACCUGCUUCUCAUCCCUCCAUCCCCCAAUGCCGCCGGCGAACCUCACCCCGAUCAAAUGGCCCAAGAACCUCACCGCCGAACACCUCCACCGCCUUGUCCGCGCCGAGCGUGACCCCCGCCGCGCGCUCGCCCUCUUCGACGCGGCCACCGCCGCGCCCGUCUCCACUUCCGCGCCCACACAAAUCCUCCCCUCCCCGGACACCGUCUCCCUCCUCACCUCCCGCCUCGCCUCCGCCGGCCUCCUCCCCCUCGCCACCUCCCUCCUCUCCCGCUCGCGCGCGCUCUUCCCCUCCAACGCCGACCUCGAGCCCCCCUUCCUCACCCUUCUCCGCGCCUUCUCCCGCACCCGCCGCCCCCUCGACGCCCUCCAACUCUUCCGCUCCGCCCCCUCCGCCCUCUCUCUCCCCCACUCCGCCCGCUCCUACACCGCCGUCCUUGCCGGCCUCGUCGCGCACUCCCAUCUCCCCCUCGCCCACUCCCUCCUCGCCGACAUGCGCGCCGCCGGCUUCGGCCCCACCAUCGCCACCUACAACGUCCUCCUCAAGGCCCACUGCUCUGAUGCCGACGCUCCUAUCGACGACGCGGUCCGCCUUUUCCGCAACAUCCCCAAACCUGACGCCUGCUCCUACAACACCCUCAUCGACGGGCUCUGCCGCCGCAGCCGCAGGGCCGAGGCCCAGGAGCUGUUUUCCGAGAUGGUAGAAAAUGGCGUUGCGCCUACAGUGGUUACUUACACGACUAUCAUCAAUUGGCUCGCACGGGAGGGCUGCUUGGAUGAUGCACUGGAGAUGUUUGACGAAAUGGGGAGGAGAGGUAUUGCACCUAAUGUUGUCACCUAUUGUUCUCUGAUUGAUGGUUUGUCCAAGGGUGGGCGUGCAGCAUCAGCACUGGACUUGCUGGAGAGGUUGGCCAAGGAGGUGAAGCCGCCAAAUACAAUCAUAUAUAGUUCUGUCAUUAAUGGCCUCUGUAAGGAGGGCCUGCUGAGGGAGGCAAUGGAGGUUUUGGACCGGAUGCGUCUCCAGGGGAGGAAGCCUGAUGCUGGAUUGUUUGGGAAGCUCAUUGUUGGGCUGUGUGAUGCAGGAAGGGCUGUGGAGGCUGCAAAUUACCUGGAUGAGAUGGUUCUUGCUGGCGUUCAACCGAACCGGGUGACUUGGAGCCUUCAUGUCAGGAUAAACGUUGCAGUGGUGACAGCAUUAUGUGUUAAGGGUGAAGUUGGGAGGGCUUUCCAGGUGUACCAGAGCAUGAGGACUCGUGGCAUUUCUACCGAGCCAAGCACCUUCCAUCUCCUGGUUGAGUUCUUCUGCAAAAAGAACCAUUUGGAGAAAGCAGCUCGUGUUGUGCUUGACAUGUUGUCAGAGAGGUGCAUCCCUGAGAGGGAAACAUGGGAUGUUAUUGUCAGUGGGUAUUGGAGUAAGAAGAAAGUCAGACAAGAAGCUGAGCAAAUAUGGGACCAAUUAGCAGUUAUCUGAUUGAAAAUAAAAACAAAUGUGGUGCUACACUGUGCUGGUCGGACCCUUCCCCGGACUCUGCACAAGCGGGAGCUACAUGCACCAGGCUGUCCCCCUGCUAGACUGUGCUGGUACAUGAUCUGCCUAAGACUUAUCAAGCAAAAAUUGUGAACCGACACACUCGUUCCAUCAUGCGGUUGCACAAGUGAGAGAGAGUUCUGCCACCAAAACCCUUAAACUCCAGUGCUUCCAUGUCCAGGAUAUGCGAAGUACUAAUAUUUAUUGUAUGAAUAAUUUUUGAAGUGACAAGCAUGCGGGCACUGUUCAGGUUAUUGCACGACGACUUAAAAGCUGUGUGGUAUGACUUCAAGAAUGCAGUCUGAUAUGAUUUUUAAAGUCUUCUUUUCUAGACAUGUUAAUUUUGGAAAAACUAGCAAAUUACAAUACAAAACUUAACUACAUAUAUGUAUGAAGAUUCAAGGCAAAAACAAGCUAUCAACUCCUGGUAUAUUGCUUCUUUCACAAUUAAUGAAGACUUUUUUCCGUGCCUGCCUAGUGUUUGAUUCCAUCCAUGUAUCGACUUUCCCUCCUAUGCUCUGAGUUCGAGUAUCAAUAAGAAUUCGAGUUCAUAUUGUUCCUAUGUUAUGGUAUGAAUAUACAUGAUGGAUGAGAUUCCGUGGAUAGAGAGCCAAUUCCAGUAGACUUAUGGAACGUUCCUGUUCACGUGCAUCCAGUAGGAAUUGAACCCUCAAAUUUACCAAUUAUGAGUUCGGCGCUUUAACCAUUCAACCAGAAGUCUUAGUUGUAUCAUAUGAAAGAUUUAAAAAAUUGUGGUAUGUGCCAAAGACGUAUCCAAUAUAUUGUCCUCCCAGGUGCCAGCACUGUUCAUUUAUGAAUACACAAAACAUGUUCAUGUCGAAGGCCACCAUAGGUACUCUUAUAAAUAUUAUUUUAGAGAAAUAGUGCUGUAUAUUUCUCUCUAUCCCGCUUAAGGGGUUUUCGACUCUGUGUUUGAUCAACAGGAAUUAGAGCAAACAAAUCUUUUGAAGACCCAGGUACUGUGGAGAGACUGGGAAGCCAAAGCCAUGGCGGGUGGUUGGGAAGCUAACAAACAGCAUGCUUCCAAUAACUCCAAUAGCAACUGGCAAUGUUGUGAGAACUUGCUUUGUGUCCUCUGAUGGUAUUGGAUAAAAGCAAGAUGCCACAUUCUGGUCAAAUAGGGCGAUUGCAACAAAAAUCACUGCUGAGACAGCUGCAUGGAAAAAGUCUAGAAAUGUCAUCUUAUAUUCAACCGCAGCGUGUGGAUCAAGAGUAACUCCACCAUCAAUGACCCACAAUCCCUUGAACGUGGCAAACCCGUAUUGUACCUUUCCGUUCUCAUCCCUGAAGCUAUCUGUGAAGGUAACAACAAAGCACGAGAGUGCACAGAGCACCACAAGCCCUCCCAUCAUCAUCCGAUCCAAGUCACCACAGUGGCCUUGUUUAGCCAUGGUUGGAGCCAGCAGCUGGAAGGCAAGCACGGUGCCUGAUGGAAGGAGUUUGGCGAGGUGCCCGGUGCUCUGGUAUGCCUGUCUGAUUGCUUUCUGCACGGGGCUCAUGUUGUCAGUGCCAUCAGUUCUGUUGGACAAAAGAGGAUGCCUCUGAUCCUUCUGCAAUUCCAUGUCCGGCUGUGUAGCAGUCAUUGCUGCUGGUGCCCUCUGUGCGAACUAGCGGAACGUCUUGCCUUCUCAGGUCGACGGCUUCGUGUUAUAUAGAUGAGGCGCACCUCCCAUAACAGCGCAUACAUGGGGUUGAGAUUACAUUCUUGGAGAGGAAGAAAGGAGGUAGAGAUAAGAGUUAUAAGAGAUAAACAUUAUACUCUAACUACCUAACCAGAUGCGCCUCAUGAAGAUAUCCGCCAGCCAUGUAGAUAUUGAUGUGUUUAACACCCUCCCUUAAUCACAACUCCAUUAAGUUGAGAUUAUACUUGAAGUUUUCAAAGCUCUUGAACGGCAAUGCUUUUGUGAAUCCAUCUGCAAUUUGAUCACUGGAAUGCACAAAACGAAUGUCAAGUUGUUUGUGAGCCACCCUCUCUCUAACAAAAUGAAAGUCUAUCUCAAUGUGUUUGGCCCUGGCAUGAAACACUGGAUUAGCUGAGAGAUAGGUAGCACCAAGGUUAUCACACCACAAACAUGGAGCUUGUUUACUUUUUAUACCAAGUUCCUUGAGCAUGGAUUGAACC